GCAUUUGUAUAUAAUGUUAUUCACGGUGAAGUAUUGGUGAUAUAAGAAAAAAAAAACGUUGAUACACAGUAUUAUAGGCAUCUGUUUGGCUUCUUCUAUGGGGAUAAUGAUUUAGAAAACCCUAUUCCGCUGUCCAGCAGUUAGUAAGAUGUUGAAUAGGGCGACCAUUCUACUUACGACAUUCGGUAUUUUGUUUGUUGGAAUUGGCGGAUAUUCAAAGACAAGAAAUAACAGAAGUUUGUCCUACAACACGCAAUGCAGUACCAGAUACUGUUGUUACGAAGAAAAACAAUAUGCCAGAAGAAUAUACCUGUACAAUUGGAGGACAGGGAGAUGCUCUUGGUACACUAAGAUCUUUCGCUACUAUAUUCCACUGAACAGCCAGACUUGUGCCGUUACUGCAGGUACAUGUAGUCAUGCAAUUCUACAACAUAUUUUUUACAUUUACAUUGUUUAUACUAUAUAACCAGCAAAAAACUGAUGGUGAUAGAGGCGACCACUUGCCAAAUGCAUUUAUUCAUACAUGUAUGAAACAAUAUUGUUCACUGCCAAUUCAGCAAUAUUGCUAAAGGGAGAGACGGGUUCAAAUGGUACUAUCGGGGUAAUUGGACGUAAAGGUGCCAGGGGACCUCGGGGCUUCCGCGGGAUCAAAGGUGACAAGGGUGAGCCAGGGUCAGAGGGCUUCGCUGCACUCGUUGAUGGGAGUCCUGGAAUUAAGGGAUCUCCUGGAGUCAACGGAAUCCCCGGAGAAAGAGGUCCUAUGGGUCCUCCGGGGCCUAGGGGAGAGCCUGGGUUACCUGGCCUCAACGGACAAAAAGGGAACCCUGGUCAACGAGGACAGAAGGGCGAACCAGGGGUUUCCACCUCUAUAUCAGCCGUGGAGUUUUACAAGCUUCAAAGAAGAGUAGACGAAAGCACAAGUACAAUUGGUAAAACUGGUUCCAAAGGUUUGCCCGGUCCGGUAGGGCCAAAGGGUGAGAGAGGAGAACCGGGGUUGCCUGGACUACCGGGUCAGAAGGGUGAUUACGGACCCCCAGGUCCAAACGGGAGGCCGGGAAAUCCGGGGUUACCGGGUGAGAGGGGUCUUAAAGGAAAUGCGGGACCUCGGGGUGAAAAGGGAAAUGAAGGAGCUCCUGGAUUACCGGGGCCGCCCGGGAAACCUGGAAUUCCCGGCGGGAAAGGAGAAAUAGGAAACCCUGGUCGUCCGGGAACAAUUGGACUUCCGGGACCAAAGGGAGAGUCCGGAAGUAUUCCACCGGAACUAACAGCUGAAGCUUUUGAAAAUCUCUCAAAACGCUUAACAGAACUUGAGCGACAAAUGAGACUGUGUUCGUGCGGGGUAUCUCCAACAGGGUCUUCGAAAGAAGACGAAGAAGUCAUCGUGUCUGAAGAUAUCAAAAACUGCAACAACACCUUGUUUCCUCCACCACCACUUCCGGUAGAACAAUCUCUUCGCCGGAAGUUGAUGGACGAACUCCAGUCGCAACAAGGGAACAGAGAGUGCAUUAGCUAUGCUUUACAGUAUUACAAAAAUUGUGCAAACAACACAGCAACAGACUUAAACGAAUUCUAUUCUUUAUACAGUAUACAAUGUAUUGAUUGUCACAUAAACAUGUAAAAUUAAUAGAUUUUAUAAAUAUAU
rnacentral:misc_RNA from 1 species